UCCGAAUUGGUGUAGUGGCUAACAUUCGACGUUCUCAAAAAGCUGUGAAUCGUCGAGCGCAGGGUUCGAUUCCUUGAUUCGGAG
rnacentral:tRNA from 1 species